UGCAGGUACUCCUGGAAGGCAGGCCACCUUUUAAGUAACACUGUUGUAAAAUAUUCUGUUUAUUGAGUGGGCUCAGGCGAGGGCUUCAGAACUUCAAGGGAUGUAUACUGCUUUCCUCACCAGAGGUGUCCACUAGCUUCUGGAACAUGGCAGAGAAGAAAUGGGCCAGUUUAUUUACGAGAUUUGAUUGGGAGGAUGGUUGCCAACUACACCCUUUCUCCUAUCAGAAGGAUAAGAAACAGGUGUUUCGAAAGUGCCCAUGGCCAUAAGGGAGAAAGAGCACCAGACCAUCUGAAUAACGUGAAAGUGGACACAGGAAACACCAGACACCCAGAGAAAUGGAGUCCAAAUAAAUCCAUUUGCUUUUUGGGAGAAAAGAAACUCCAUCAUUAUGGGAAGGCAUAUUAUAAACCUUGAACAAAAAGGUAAUAUCAUGAAAUAGAUUCAUUCAUUAAAAUAGGAUAUUAUGCAC
rnacentral:lncRNA from 10 species